CAAUAUUGGCUUUUGCUUGUGCUGCCCCUUACAAAAAUAAGUUUGUGGCAAAUUUGCUGCAAAUAAAUGUUGCCAGAAGUGUUUGCCACUAGUGGUGAAUCUGCAGCAAACCUUAGGCAACAACAAUAUGUAAUGCCACUAGUGGCAAACAGUUUGCCAGAAGUAGUUCCAAGACCAGUAAGCAUUGAUGACCAGUCAGUGGGAGAAGAAAAAUCUAUUGGAAGUGAUCUACCUACCGAAGUUGUACAAUGGAUACCCUUCCCCUACCCGUCGUGUUGGAAGAGGCUGCAUUGGGAAGAGAAUGCAUCAACACCCUGGAAAGAUGUUUGUGGUGCAUUCACUCAUAACACUUUUUGUUUGUGAUAAAUGAGUGUAACGUAAUCUUCUUCAAGCUUGAUAAGUGCAUGCAGUCAUUAAGCUUUGGACGAAGGACUUCCACAGGGCCGCCAUCUCCAAAGUUCACUCAAAAAGGCAAUAGUUGUGAAGUGGGUUUUAUUUUUUAUUUUUUUUGCAUAUUAUUUUUUUUUCACUUCCAUUGGUUGAAAGCUAAUUUCUCAUCACUAAUCACUUAGGAUGUUUAACUUCUAAAUGUUCAUGAACUAAGGUUACAAUCCCCAUAACCCAUAGAGUUCACAUUUCUCUCAUGUAAAUAUUGUAGCUACAUAAAAAGAUUAAACAAUUUAUUUGGGGAAUAUUCAGUCAUUGCUCUUUUUUCAUUAGCAUGCGGAUAAUCAUUUCAAGAUUAGGAUUUUUCAGGAUAGAUUUUUAUCUGUUAUUAAGACAUUUAAUACAUGUAGUUUAGUAUAUUUAGUACAUUAAGUAUGUUUAGUUUAGCUUCUUGAAGCAAGUUCAUUUAAAGUUAUAUGUGAUUUGGUUUAUGCAGAUAAGGCAUUUAAUUAGUGUUGAGGAAGCUACUCUGAAAAUAUAGUUUACCAAGCUACCAAUUACUUCACACUGGAAUAAGUUAAACUACCCUUAAGAAAAAUAUUGUUUACUUAACUAUAUCUCAGAAUUAGACGUUCAUCCAUGUUUCUCAAAUGUCAAAUUUCAAAGUUGUUGCAAAUGUCAAAUUUCAAAGUGUUUAAGGUUAAGUUUAGGCAUUAACUCUGAAUGUUUUUUUUUAUUUUACCUUUACUUAACUAGGCAAGUCAGUUAAGAACAAAUUCUUAUUUUCAAUGACAGCCUAGGAACAGUGGGUUAACUACCUUGUUCAGGGGCAGAACGACAGAUUUGUACCUUGUCAGCUCGGGGAUUCGAUUUUGAAACCUUUCGGUCACUAGUCCAACGCACUAACCACUAGGCUACCUGCCGCCCCAAGGAAAGAGUUAAGGUUUGGGAUAGGCGUCUAACAAAAAUCUAAAAAAAACGUUGUAACGUUGGAUUUGAACUUGCAACCUUUGGAAUCAGAGGCAGAUGCUUACGCCCAUUUGCCAUCCCUGUCCACAACACCCUGGCACAGCAUUUCCCAAACUCGGUCCCCGGGAACCCAAAGGGUGCACGUUUUGUUUUUUGCCCUAACACUACAUAGCUGAUUAAAAUGAUCAAAGCUUGAUCAUUAGUUCAUUAUUUGAAUCAACUGUGUAAUGAUAGGAUAAAAACCAAAACAUGCAUCCCUUGGAGUCCCGAGGACCAAGUUUGGGAAACCCCGCCCUAGCAAAACUGAAACCUACUUGAAGGUAACAGCGCUCACUGUUGCCCCUAGUGCCCGGUUUCCAUGUCAUCACCCAACAUCCUCAACCAGGUCACCUGGGACACUAGUCAGCCAUCCAUGUGAAGGACUUUGAAUACUUGUAUCACGGGUUACCUGGUUGAUUUAUUAUCAUCUCAAUGUCUCAUCUUUCAAAAUACAUAGAGUCCUCUUAAUUUACAGCAUUUCCCUCACUCAGACAACCAAAAUGUAGCUAAAGCUGCCAAAUAAGCGGAGGGAUGAGGGCAACUUCUUGUCGCGCAUGUUGGGGGUGAGCGGGGCAGCUGUUCAUUCACCCGCACACGCUCGCAAUUGCUAAUAACCCAUCCCCACCCGCCUGACUAUAAGUGAUAAAGUGAAAAUCUGGAGGCCCACAACCGACCCUAACCCAUAAUAUACAAAAAAAAAAAAUUGUAGGCUACAGUCAGAGACGGCAGAAAGAUUUUUGACAGGGGUCCAUGCUUUCUUUUUCUCCUGAUUUAGAUAUGUUUCUGCUUAUAAUUUCCGACAUUUUCGUAGGCAAUUUUUUUAUCAAUUUGUCUAUAGAUGCAUGCAGCUUCUCUUCUGUCAUUAUAUGUGACUAAAUAAACCCUUGCUCGCCAGAAGAAUGUCAUAAACCGAUAGAAUGAAUGCUUCAAUCUAGUUGACAUUGGUAAAGUUCUCUGUCAUCUCCGCUUCUUUCAUGGAGCAAAGACGUUAAGGGACCGGUGAGAAAAUGCUAUAAAAGAAAUACUAAAAUGUAAAGACCGGUUGUAAGGAAAGGAAAUAGAAAGCUGUGAAAACGACCCCAACAUGUUUCUGCUAAGAUUUCAGUUCGGCUUGGAUGCAUAUUUUAUGUGGUUGAAAUACUAUCAGCUUUUAUGAUGCUGAUUAAGAUAGCACCUCUACAGAUGGUAUCUAACUGCGGAUUCACAUUCUCUCAAGAUGCUGAAAGAAAUAAAUCAUAUUUCUCCACUCCUGUUCCUGAGUCAAAAUUUUGCCUACAUUUAGUGUAUCAUUUUAAUGGAAGAAAUGCUUAAUUCUGCAGGAAUUCAUAUUAAGGUUAUAGACCUACAGUCAGAUUUCAGUUUCAAUGUAAUCCAUCUGAACAGUAGACUACAGUAGGCCAUUGUUUUCUCUUUAUUCAACCCGCCACCCACCCACCCUUCAUCCACACAAUAUUUCAUGACCCUAAACCUGCCUGCCCCGCAAUAUAACUGUGGGGUCUGCGGGUUAAGAGUCAGCCCACGCAUCAUUAGCGAGUGGCGCUCAAGUUCAGAACGGCUGUCAGUCAAACCCAUAGAGAGCUGUGAAGCGGAGACCCUGAGAUCUGACGUCAUGUAUAGCAUGUUACUGUACAGCCACUGUGUUCUAAUUUACACUCUUAUCAGUGUCCAAAUCUGCCACUUUCAACCUGCGUACAGGUGCGAGUGUAAAAGGCUACCUAAAGUUACUUUGAAAAAGUAGUUCACUACAUUCAAACUACCUCGUGAAAAAUGAUCAUCAUGUAAAUCUGAAAUGUCAUAGACUACAAAUUGCAUAGACUACAAAUUUAGUCAAUUAACCCUAGGAUGCAUAUGCCGGGUCAAAAUGACCCGGCCUAAUGUUUUUUUUUUUCCUGUAUUGACCCCCCUCCCCCAAAAUGUAAUUACCUAAUAUUCCAGGAAUUCCUUAAAUAAUGUGUCUUUAAUGUUCUAACAUCCUAGUUUUGUUUUUUAAUUUCUUAUUUUUUAAGUAAAAUAGCUUUUGCUUCACUACCCCAAGUUUUCAUAUGUGGGUCAAAUAUGACCCUUAUGUAUUUCUUAUGGAAUCCACUGCAUUGCACUUUGUUUUUGCUACAACAAUAAAAUCAAAGUAAUUAAUAAAAUAUUUAUUAUAUAUCUUGUUUAUAAUGUUCAUU
rnacentral:lncRNA from 1 species